GUUUCCGUGUCGCAAUCGGCUACCGCGUUCAGCAGUUAUCCGAAAGGUUGGUGGUUCGAGACCAUCCGGGGGCU